AAAAUGGAGCAGACCUCUACUCCAGAGAGAGGAACAGGAAAGAGAGAGAAAGAAGAAAGACCUGGCCCAGUUCAGGUCGAGAGGAGGAAUCGGCGGAGAAUCUCAUCAGUGUUCUGAACGCUACAGCCAGGAUUCAUCCAUCUUGUUAAGGGGAAGAGACACCAGGAAUGUGUGCACACACACGGUGAAGACCAACUUGAGGACACAGAGACAAUGUGACCGUCUCAAGCCAAGGAGACCUCAGGAGAAACCAAACUGCUAAUACCUUGAUCUUGAACUUCCAGUCUCCAGAACGGGCCCAUGGAGUGGUGCUUAACUCAUCCCAACCAUAGACAAACCUUCUGGAAAUCAUGCUAAUGCACAGCUGAAUAAGAAGAGAUCAGAGAUACCAAGGCCAUGGAUGGAGCUUUAGAGAAGUACUUUUCAGGGAUCACCAGUGCUCUGGUGCCAAGGAAAAGAAGACAGCAAAAAAAGAAGAAAGAGCAAGGACCAGCUUUACGAAAUAAAUGAAGACAAUGACUGCUGAAUUUUUUUCUCGCAUGUGGACAAUGGAAUGUGAAGUCAAGAAAAUAUUUCCGAGGGGCACCUGGGUGGCUUAGUUGGUUAAGCAUCCGACUCUUGAUCAUGGUCAUGAUCUCAUAGUUAUGAGCUGCUAAGACUUUGGGCUCUACACUGUGAAGCCUGCUUAACAUUCUCUCUUGCUGUCCUUCUGCCCCUGCCCCUCUCUAAAAAGAAAAUCUUCCAGAAAACGUAUCACAAAGAGGAUGGAGUGGGAUGGAAAAGGCAAGAAGGGUCUAGUAUGUAUGGCUUACAUCCAUUUGGUCAUAUGGUCCAGUCCAAAAUUCUCUACUAAGAGAGUUUCUUUUCUUUUGUUCUAGUGACUUUUACGCAGACACAGAGCAAAGGGAAGUAACUGUCUUUUGAUUGGCAGGAAGAGUGACCUGUAUCUCAAAUAUCCCAAGCAGCUUCUUUUCCAGCUUCUAGUUCUAGGUGGGAACUGCUAAAUGCCAACAUUCAGCCCUGAGGUUUCUCCAAAACCUACUAUACAUUAAUAUGUAUAUUAAUACCUACUGUACAUUCUAAUUUUCCAUAGUAGUCUUCCAAAUACUCAAAGUUGGGGUGCCUGGGUGGCUCAGUCAGUUAAGUAUGCAACUCUUGGUUUUGGCUCAGGUCAUGAUCUGAUGGUUCAUGACUUUGAGCCCCACAUCGGGCUCUGCACUGACAGUGUGGAGCCUGCUUGGGAUUCCCUCUUUAUCCUUCUCUCUGCCCCUCCCACUCUCUAUCCUUCUCUCAAAAUACAUAAAUAAAAGUAAAAAAAGAACAAAAACUCGAAGACAGAGGAUACUAGGCUAUGAUCAUUUUCUUUUUGAAAGUCAUAGUUUUCCAUCUUUACCCACUUACCUUGGAAGAAAUUGAAGAAUUUCUCUAAAGACUUUGAAAGCAAUACUGUGAAAGAGCAGGGGAAGUACAGGACUCUAGGCUCAGGGGUGUUUCUAUCCCUUUUUACUUUCUUGUUUGGGUACCAGCCAAGGGUUUUGAAAAGUCUUGACAAGUUCUGUAGGAAGGCAGUGUCAUACAAUAUGCCAUGUCAGAUGGUAUGUAAACAUUUCUGUAUUCCCCAGAAAAAAGGUGCUGCUUCUUCACUCAUUUUUGUUGUUGUUGAAUCAAUACUUAUUGAAUGUUUACUAUGCAUAAACUUUUAUUCUAGGCAUAGGCUAAUCAGGAGGGGACAAAGAGGACAUAAUUCCCAACCUCAGGAAACUCACAGUCCUUUCAGAUGGGCACUGGAUUACUCACGUUUGCUGUUACCUGUAUAUCUCUUUCCAGACUUCAGAACCCUCUUCUGUUGGAUAUUCCAAACAUAUCACCUUUUUUUUUUUGUCUCUUCUCCUUUCAUGCUUCCAUCCUCCAGUGUCCUGUCCCCUGGCCUGCAUUUCCCUUCACCUGCUCACAUGUACUUUUCUUCCUUAAUAUUUCUUCUCCGUCAUUUAGGAACCCUUUGUCACUUCACAAUCCCUGACAUAUAGUUAGUGCUGUAUACAAUCUCAGAGAAUGAAUGAGUAUCUAAAUGUACUAAGGUCGCAUAUAAAUGAGUUUUGAGACUGCGGGCAGAGGUUUGCAGAGGUAAAGGAAAGAAUAUUUUGGUUGGAGUAAGUUUCGAAGGUCUCAUCACACACACACACACACACACACACACACACACUUUUGAAAAACUCAAGUAACAUUACAUCUUCCUAUGAUCCUUGAGACAUAAUCCUUUGCCUCAGUAGGCAUUCAACAAAUAUCUGACUGUUUGAUGCCCUAGAGUUCACAUGACUGUUACAAAAGCAUUG